rnacentral:rRNA from 1 species
UACGGAGGGUGCGAGCGUUGUCCGGAAUCAUUGGGCGUAAAGAGCGCGUAGGCGGUCCGAUAAGUCGGCUGUGAAAGUCAGGGGCUCAACCCUUGAAAGCCGGCCGAUACUGUCGGACUAGAGUCCGGAAGAGGCAAGUGGAAUUCCCGGUGUAGCGGUGAAAUGCGCAGAUAUCGGGAGGAACACCAAUGGCGAAGGCAGCUUGCUGGGACGGUACUGACGCUGAGGCGCGAAAGCGUGGGGAGCAAACAGGG